AUUGGGCAAACUUAUCGAAAGGUAAGGACGCAAAGCCAUAGGGGCUAAGGUCUGGAGAUGUGCCAGAUGAUGCCAGCCGGUUGC
rnacentral:ncRNA from 1 species